rnacentral:rRNA from 1 species
ACGUACUUGUACUGAUUGAGAUUUUAACACGAAGUGAGUGGCGAACGGGUGAGUAACACGUGGGUAACCUGCCCAGAAGUAGGGGAUAACACCUGGAAACAGAUGCUAAUACCGUAUAACAGAGAAAACCGCAUGGUUUUCUUUUAAAAGAUGGCUCUGCUAUCACUUCUGGAUGGACCCGCGGCGUAUUAGCUAGUUGGUGAGGUAAAGGCUCACCAAGGCAGUGAUACGUAGCCGACCUGAGAGGGUAAUCGGCCACAUUGGGACUGAGACACGGCCCAGACUCCUACGGGAGGCAGCAGUAGGGAAUCUUCCACAAUGGACGCAAGUCUGAUGGAGCAACGCCGCGUGAGUGAAGAAGGAUUUCGGCUCGUAAAGCUCUGUUGUUAAAGAAGAACGUGGGUAAGAGUAACUGUUUACCCAGUGACGGUAUUUAACCAGAAAGCCACGGCUAACUACGUGCCAGCAGCCGCGGUAAUACGUAGGUGGCAAGCGUUAUCCGGAUUUAUUGGGCGUAAAGCGAGCGCAGGCGGUCUUUUAAGUCUAAUGUGAAAGCCUUCGGCUCAACCGAAGAAGUGCAUUGGAAACUGGGAGACUUGAGUGCAGAAGAGGACAGUGGAACUCCAUGUGUAGCGGUGAAAUGCGUAGAUAUAUGGAAGAACACCAGUGGCGAAGGCGGCUGUCUGGUCUGCAACUGACGCUGAGGCUCGAAAGCAUGGGUAGCGAACAGGAUUAGAUACCCUGGUAGUCCAUGCCGUAAACGAUGAUUACUAAGUGUUGGAGGGUUUCCGCCCUUCAGUGCUGCAGCUAACGCAUUAAGUAAUCCGCCUGGGGAGUACGACCGCAAGGUUGAAACUCAAAAGAAUUGACGGGGGCCCGCACAAGCGGUGGAGCAUGUGGUUUAAUUCGAAGCUACGCGAAGAACCUUACCAGGUCUUGACAUCUUCUGACAGUCUAAGAGAUUAGAGGUUCCCUUCGGGGACAGAAUGACAGGUGGUGCAUGGUUGUCGUCAGCUCGUGUCGUGAGAUGUUGGGUUAAGUCCCGCAACGAGCGCAACCCUUAUUACUAGUUGCCAGCAUUAAGUUGGGCACUCUAGUGAGACUGCCGGUGACAAACCGGAGGAAGGUGGGGACGACGUCAAAUCAUCAUGCCCCUUAUGACCUGGGCUACACACGUGCUACAAUGGAUGGUACAACGAGUCGCGAGACCGCGAGGUUAAGCUAAUCUCUUAAAACCAUUCUCAGUUCGGACUGUAGGCUGCAACUCGCCUACACGAAGUCGGAAUCGCUAGUAAUCGCGGAUCAGCAUGCCGCGGUGAAUACGUUCCCGGGCCUUGUACACACCGCCCGUCACACCAUGAGAGUUUGUAACACCCAAAGCCGGU